rnacentral:rRNA from 1 species
AGACGAAGGUGGCAACCGUUGUUCGGAAUUACUGGGCAUAAAGCGCACGUAGGCGGGAAAGCAAGUCGGGUGUGAAAUCCCUCGGCCCAACCGAGGAACUGCGCCCGAAACUGCUUUUCUUGAGGACAGAAGGGGAGCAUGGAAUUCCUGGUGGAGCGGUGAAAUGCGUUGAUAUCAGGAGGAACACCGGCGGCGAAGGCGACGCUCUGGUCUGUUUCUGACGCUAAGGUGCGAAAGCCAGGGGAGCAAACGGGAUUAGAAACCCCAGUAGUCC